CCUUUAUCCUUCCACUUUAAACCAUUGCUUUAAAGUAAAACCAACAACUUUAUUUUUAAAUAUUUUUUUGGUAUAUUUUUCACAAUUCUUUAUUGUUUUUCAUUGGUUUAUGUACGUGUGUGUGUUUCAGUGUUUUAUUUCAUUUUAAUAGUAUUCAGUUUAUAUCGUUUUUAAAUAUUCAUUAUUAUUUCAAUUGAUACUUAUACAUUUAACAGCAAUUUAACACAAAGCUAAGCAAUUUACUUUCAUAUUAUAUUUUUUGUAUACAAUACCUUUGUGAUUUGUUACUUAUUUUUUAUUUAUAUAUUUGUUUACUUAAACCAUCCAUUCAAAUGCACAUCUCAAUUACAUAUCAAUGCAUUAUAACUCUUCUUCAAAUACAAUUCAAUUAUAUUUAAUUACUUUAUUUAAUUAUAAUCAAUAUUCUUUUUAUUUAAUUAUAAUUCAUAUUUAUUUAUCAACUGUAUGCAUACCAUCAUUUUUAAUUAUAAUUAGCGCGCACACUGUACAAAUUCCUUAACUUGCCUGCACCGUUAAAUGCACGCACAAUUGUUUAAAAUUAACAGUUAAUUGAUUAUUUUUUCUUAUUAUGCUGCGUUUUCCUAAAAUUGUUUUUUCGAUAUCAGUGCUUGUUCUUUGCCAACUACAAAUUGUUUGAAUUGCUUGUGCGCGCAGAAUUUGAUUUCUACUAUGUCUCUUAUAUUCAACUACACUAGCGCGCACAAAUUGUGCAAUCAACUAUCAUGCCUCCAUGCGUUCUGCUUAUAACCUAUCAAAUAUGCAGUUACGUGUGCUAACACUACAAACUUACACAUUUAUAAUAAUUUUUUUCUUUAUUUGCUGUAUGUGUCUGUGUAGUUGCUUUGCUUUUGCCCCGCCUACAACAUUAUUAGUCUAACAAUGUCUAACAUUUCUACGCAGUUUGUUUUUCAAUGAUUUUUCAAUUAUUUUAAGUAUGUAUUCUAAAUAAUGUUUUUUAAAUCAUAUUUAUUUUGCGCUUUAAAUUAAUUGCAUUUAUGAAAGUUGGUUAGCUCUUUUUACUAAAUUUGUUAAAUUUUUAUAAAUUAACGCUUUCAUUAUAAAUUUACACAUUUAAACUUAUGCAAAUUGUAUUUGUUAGUUUUUAAUAUAAAAUAUAACAUAAUUAUUAAUUAAAAAUAUAAAUGCAAUUGUUCGCCUUUCUCCGUAAAUUUCACAUCACCAUUGUUUGCAUAUACAUUUUGUUUAAACUAAGCUACAUGCCUGUAAGUUGUAGCUUUUUUAUUUUUUAAUUUAAAUUUUUAAACUUUCCUAUUUUGCUGCUAAUGCAGUUUAGUUUCUGAUCGUUUUAGUUAAUUUUCUAACCGCAAUUUACUGCCAUUUAUUUGUUUUUAAGCAGCUGUUCCACUUGUUCAACAUUCUUUUAUAAGUUUUUACUUGCAUUUGCUGUGCCACUUGUUCAAGUGUACGCUGCAACUCUACUAUCAGCAUAGCCAUACCUUUUUUAAAUUUUAUUUUAUUACCUUUUGAAUUUGUAAUAAUUUUUUUUCUUGUCUAAUUUUGCCUAAUCAUUUGUCUAAACAUACAUACAUUUGAAAGACGAGUACACGAAAUGCUUUUUUGUCGGUAGUGAUAUUUGUAUAUAUAUGUAUAUAUUUUAAAAUGUAUUUUUAAUAUUUCUCUUUUUGCAUUAAUACAUUUAUUGUAGUUUAGUAGCAAUAGUCACUGUGCGGUCAUAAGAACAACACAAGCAAACAUUUUAUUUAAAAAGAGGGCGGGGCGAAAAAUUAGUAAUCAAAGAAAUUUCUUUAGCUCGUUUCUUUAUAUUAACCUCGAUUAAAACAUUUUUUACUUCUUUUUUAUAUAAUUGAAAGAUUUAAAUUUAAAUUAAAACUAGAUCAAUUAAUUUUUAAUUUCAAAAGCUAAAAUUCAAAAAUUUACUGCCAUUUAUUUGAAUUUUUAAAUUUUCUAAAAGUCACACUUUCCAUUUACAUUUCCAUAUUUCAGCAACACUGCAUACCGCGUUUUCAAUGUCAUUCUAAAGCUGAGACAAUAUUUAUAAAAAAAGUAGCAAUAUAUUUUUUUAUACUAUCGACACUAAACUAAAAACGAAAGCAAAACAUCUACUCAACUAAAUUAAAUAUUUUAAAAUUUAAUAUAUAUUUUUAUGAAUUUUUUUCCAAGAAAUUUUUUAUUUAAAAUAGCAGAAAUAAGCUUUAAUUUCGCUUUUGAAGACAUUCUGUACGUUUGGGCAUGGAUGCGUUAGAAGAAAUAUAAGGGAAAAUCUACAUUCGGCGGUAGUUUUACGGUGGAAACUUUCACAGCACAGAUGUGUCAGUCCUCUAAUAAAUGGAAAGCUGUCAGCUCUAAUAAUGACGAAACUAAAAUACUUACAAUAGAUAAGGAGUCAGUCAGUCUGUACCAUAGAGGAGACUUCAAUAACUUUUUCUCUUCCAUGAAGUAUUACUUAAUCCGGUUGUUCUUUCCCCCUACUAUAAAAAACUACGCUUAUUUUGUUGGUGUUGACAGCUGUUUAACUAUUUGUAAUUGUUUUUGAGUUUUACUUCUAAAUUCAUUCUAAUAAAUUUAUGUUUUAUUUGAACUGGA